GAUGAAGAACGUAGCGAAAUGCGAUACGUAAUGUGAAUUGCAGAAUUCAGUGAAUCAUCGAAUCUUUGAACGCAUAUUGCGCUCUCUGGUAUUCCGGAGAGCAUGCUUGUUUGAGUAUCAGUAAACACCUCAACUCCCUUUCUUCUUGAAAUGGAGCUGGACUUGAGUGAUCCCAACGCUUUAUUCAUAAAGUGGCGGGUUACUUGAAAUGCAGGUGCAGCUGGACUUUUCUCUGAGCUAUAAGCAUAUCUAUUUAGUCUGCCUAAAAAACAGAUUAUUACCUUUGCUGCAGCUAACAUAAAGGAGAUUAGUUCUUGUGCUGACUGAUGCAGGAUUCACAAAGACGGCUUCGGCCGACUUUGUAAACUCGAUCUCAAAUCAAGUAAGACUACCCGCUGAACUUAAGCAUAUCAAUAAGCGGAGGA
rnacentral:misc_RNA from 1 species